rnacentral:snRNA from 12 species
AUCUUUGUGCAGUGGCAGUAUCGUAGUCAAUGAGGUUUAUCUGAGGUGCGGUUAUUGUUCAUUGAAAAAAAAAAUUAUCGUAGUGAAUGAGAGAUUAUCAGAGCAUCACUGGCAUAUGUGGUCAGCCAGGGAUUGAAUUUGGGAUGGCACAUGUGC